UUAAAUUGAAGAGUUUGAUCAUGGCUCAGAUUGAACGCUGGCGGCAGGCCUAACACAUGCAAGUCGAACGGUAACAGGAAGCAGCUUGCUGCUUUGCUGACGAGUGGCGGACGGGUGAGUAAUGUCUGGGAAACUGCCUGAUGGAGGGGGAUAACUACUGGAAACGGUAGCUAAUACCGCAUAACGUCGCAAGACCAAAGAGGGGGACCUUAGGGCCUCUUGCCAUCG
rnacentral:rRNA from 1 species